UAGGGAAUCUUCGGCAAUGGGGGGAACCCUGACCGAGCAACGCCGCGUGAGUGAAGAAGGUUUUCGGAUCGUAAAGCUCUGUUGUUAAGGAAGAACGAGUGUGAGAAUGGAAAGUUCAUGCUGUGACGGUACUUAACCAGAAAGGGACGGCUAACUACGUGCCAGCAGCCGCGGUAAUACGUAGGUCCCGAGCGUUGUCCGGAUUUAUUGGGCGUAAAGCGAGCGCAGGCGGUUAGAAAAGUCUGAAGUGAAAGGCAGUGGCUCAACCAUUGUAGGCUUUGGAAACUGUUUAACUUGAGUGCAGAAGGGGAGAGUGGAAUUCCCUGUGUAGCGGUGAAAUGCGUCGAUAUAUGGAGGAACACCGGUGGCGAAAGCGGCUCUCUGGUCUGUAACUGACGCUGAGGCUCGAAAGCGUGGGGAGCGAACAGG
rnacentral:rRNA from 1 species